UUGCCACUUCAACCACACAUAUACUAAAAUUGGAAUGAUACAAAGAAGAUUCCUCUGGGUCCUGCAUAAGGAAGACAUUUGUGAAGCAUUCCAUACAUUA
ensembl:snRNA U6 U6 spliceosomal RNA